rnacentral:rRNA from 1 species
UACGGGGGGGAGCAAGCGUUUGUUCGGAUUUACUGGGGCGUAAAGGGCGCGUAGGCGGUCGUGACAAGUCACUUGUGAAAUCUCCCGGGCUUAACUCGGAACGGUCAAGUGAUACUGUCGGACUAGAGUACAGAAAGGGGCCAACUGGAAUUCUCGGUGUAGCGGUGAAAUGCGUAGAUAUCGAGAGGAACACCUGCGGCGAAGGCGGGUUGCUGGGCUGAUACUGACGCUGAGGCGCGAAAGCCAGGGGAGCGAACGGG